rfam:Pelodiscus sinensis unplaced genomic scaffold scaffold859, whole genome shotgun sequence.
UGGCCGUAAGGUUAAGGCAUAAGCCUUUUAAGCUGAGGAGUGUGGGUUCAGAGUCCCAC